GACAAGAUGUCCGAGUGGUCUAAGGAGAUAGACUUGAAACAACUAGAGAUCUAUUGGCUUCGGCCGCGUAGGUUCGAACCCUACUCUUGUCG